UCCCUACAUAGUUUUGAGAAAUUGUUAUCAUUACAAAUAACCUAAACUCGUUGCUGAUAUUCACAAAUAAGAAAGCUUGAAAGAUGUCUUACUUAAUAUCCAUGCUAGUUUUGUUGCUAGCAAUUAUCACUCUUACAACCGUAGCAGGAAAUAUUAAUCCCAAAUAUGAGUCUGCACGAUCCAAUGGAUUCAUCAGUUACCAGCCCCCAACAACUGAUACACAAAAACUGGUUGGUCUCGAUUACAGGCGACGUAGACAUGCACCACCGCCGCCACCUCAAUAUCGUCCCAGAAUUAACUACCCAGGAACACCACACCAACAGCCUCAUCGACACCAGUUACGCCCACCUCCUAAAAUGUAAGAAUUAAGAACUCACCAUUUGAGGAGGCUAAGUUGGUCCAAUAAACUACUCUCUCCUGUUAUGUUUAAAAAAAAAAAAAAAAGUUUUUUUUAGAUUCAUUGAAUACUUGAUACAUAUUAUAAACCAAAUAUAUUAAGUAUUCAAUAAAUCUAACAAUCAGUUUUUUUUAGUUUAUAAAUGUAACUGAAGGACAAUUAACAUCAUCGUUGAUAGUAUAUUUUAUGUCUUUCACUAAAAAAAGUAUAUUUUAUGUCUUAGUUGUUAUUUUGAUUUAUAUAUUUUCUGUACUUUUUAGUGUGCUUAAGAUUUUACCAUAUGGAUAAUAAUGAUUUAUCCAGAAUAUUAUAUAAUAAGUGUAUUAAUUGUUCAUUAAGGAAAAGAACAAAAAUAAAUGUGGAAACGUCUUUAAUUGUAUUUGAUAGUUUUUUUUUAUUGUUUAUUUUAUCUUUAAUUUUCUUAGUUCCAUAUUUUUAAUUUAUUUGGAGCCUGUCAACGAUAUUCCGGGUUGGAAUCCAGUUAAUAAUAUGUCUAACAUAAUAAUAUUGUUAUUUGUCGGUUGAGUUAUGUCUUACGAACAACGACGCAAUUUAUUAGUAUAUCAUAUUUAAUAUCUUUUGUCAAAAAAAAAAAUCAUACCUUUUUUUUUUUUUUUUUAUUUAAGGAGAAAUCAUACUUAAUAUCUACUGUGUGAAUAGAAUUACUCAAAUUUAGCCAAACUGCAAUAUAUAUGCUCCCAUUCACUUUAUACAUUUUCCGGUACUGAUUUGUUGUUGGAAAUUGUUAAAGACUUACCAGAUUUAAAAUAUAUUUGAGUAAACUAAAUCAGAAAAUAUCAUAUCAUCUUUUGUUUGAUUUCCUUACAACUUUUUUUGGUCAAGUAGGCAAACAGCCAGAGAAAUUCACUUUAAAUGUGAAUAAGUAGGAUGUUGGGGGUUCAAACUCCAGCCUCUACAUAUAUAUGCAUUAUCCAAUACUAAAUAAGUUAAUCUUACAGGAACCCCCAUACAUACAAUUUACAUGGUAUAUUUAUUAUUUUUUCAACAAACAUACCUCUUAUUAAUAUUACUAAUUUAUCCUUGAAAAUGAAAAGUUAAAAUUAAACACUAAUUUAUUUCAAUGUUUUCCAACUUCAAAGUUAUUGUUAAAUCGGCGCACAUUACUACUUUGUUUAAUAUGACAUCUUCAUAUAAGUGAUUUAAAAAAAAAAUAGUGGUAUUUGAACAACCAUUUCAUACAACUUUUGGUGACAAUUUCUUUUCUCUCUUUUCAUUGGUUAAAAAUAAUGGAGAGAGAAAAAUGAAGAGAGAAAAUAAGAGGAUAAUGCGAGUAUGAGAGAUAAAGUUAUAAAAAAAUCGUCAUAAAAUGGAUGUACAAAUAUUAUUUCUCUUAAAAAAAAAAAAAGGGGUUGACAUCGUUCUAUAUAACUAUAAAUUACUAAUAAGAUAUAGUUAAAGUGGCCCCAUACGAACACAUCAUUUGUUCAAUCAAUUUUUAAAGGUAAUGUUUAAUAAGUAUUUAUUUAUUCCAAUCUAACAACUCUUCAAAAAUUAUUAAGUGGGUCCUACAAAUAACUUUACAUUAGUACUUUUUAAAAACAAUUAAUAUGUUUGUGCAAUUUGCUCAUUAUUUAGCAAAGACGAUUCCGUGUCAUGUUAGUUUCCGUGUUCAUAUUAGAACUCUAUCAUAUAUCUCUAUUAUUAUUAUAAAUGAAAUGCACUAAAUUUUCCUUUGUAAAAACAGUUUGUGCAACAUUAUUAUUUUUUAAAUAUGAAGAAAACAUUGAAUAGAGAGUAUGCAAUACAAGAGAGAGACAAUACUUUUACUACAAGCUUUGCAUCUAAAUAACAGUGCUUCUUAUUUCUUCUCCAUUGAUAACAAAAAAGGACUUGUUUCUACCUACUAAGUAACAAAAUAGUCUUUGUCAAAAAAAAAAAAAAGUAACAAAAUAGUCAAUAGUAAGCAUUUUCUUCAAAUCUUCACUUGAAUUACCAUUGACCAAACAAUGCUACGAUAUACUCAACUAUUGAGUUUCCUUUGAUCUUUGAUAAAAUGUCAAUUAUAAGAUGGACAAUUUAAAUGAGAAAACCCCUAAAUUUCAUUUUAAGGUGAAAUGAUCAAAGUCCUUUACUUUAUGUUACCAACUUACUCAAAUUAAAACCAUGAGAUCAUCUCACUCUAACGUACCAAAAUUCAAUCAAGUCUAAGUUACUCCAUUUAUUCUCUAAUUACAAAAGUUUAUAUGAAUUUUCAGAGAGAUGAAUGCGAUGAGGGUUUGAACAAGAUAAAGAGAAAAUGUCAUAAUUUAAAAAAAUAGAUUGUUAAAACUUAUAUAAUUUUUGAGAAUAUAAGAGAAGUGAACAUGUAUAAAUUUUGUGAAAAUAUACGAUUGAAUCAAUUCAUUCAAAUCUAGAACAUAAGUGUGAAUCGAUUCAUAAGUUAGAGACUUUUAAAGCACUAUUUUAAAGAAAAAUAGGGAGUGAAUCGAUUCAUUCAACCUCGGAAAAGGAUUUGUGAAUCGAUUCAUAAGUCAAAGAGUUAAACCUCUUAAAAAAAAUAAUUCAUUCAAAUCAUAAACGAGGUAUGAACCGAUUCACUUAACUUAAAGUGUAAUAAAUCAUGUUUUUUUAUUAUGUGAAUUGAUUUUCACAUACCCCAAAAUUAAUUUUUUUUUUAUGCUAACAUAACUUCCAAAAACAUUAUUCAUUGAAAUUUCAAAGGGACGGUGAUGUGAUACUUAGAAGUUACUUAGUUACAUCAAUUAUAAACUUAUUUUUUGUCCUCUAAUUGAAAUGAAUUCUUAUACACUAAAAAUAAUAUGUACUUACAUGAUGCACUUAAUUAGUUAAAAAUUAUUUAAUUGAUGCACUUCGUUAAUAUAAAAAAUAUUACAGUGUUGGUAAUCAAUGGAUUCACAUUGACACCACAAUUAUUUUCACUUUUCAAAAUAUUAUAAUACUCCCUCCGUCCCUAAUUAUAAGACCCUUUUGAGAAUUUUUUUUGUCCCUUUUUAUAAGAUNUUGGAAUAAUAAUGUCCCGUCGAAAUUAAGAAUGAUCUUAAAUGUAUAUAAACAUUCUUUCAAAAAAUUUCUAAUUGAGGAGAAAUUAAAAAGUGGAAAUAGUGGUAUCAGCAUAUUUGAGUGGUCGUAGUGCCAUAUUGAUAUUUUGGAGAAUUAAAGUUAAAAUGGUGGUAACACCAUAUUUGAGUGGUCUCAGCACCAUAAGAGAGUGGUAACAAUACCAUAUUAAAGUGGUUUCAACAUUAAAGAGUGGUCUUACUAUCAUAUUGAAGGUGUAAUUCUCGAACGGUUUUCUACACUGCAAUAGUUAAUCGAACAGUUCUAACCGGGCUUGUUUUAUAUCCUGCAGACGGCGUGGUUAAUAGUCUGUCUUGAACAAUUUUGAGCAGUGUCAUGAAAUGUUUUAUAGAGAGCGACCUGAUCGUGACUCAACCUAGUAACCAGUGGCGGAGCCCUAUCAACGAUUAUAGGUCUAUUUUGCGAGAUUUUAUGCAAUUUUGUGUCAGUUUUAUGUUUUGGUUGAUCCAAAUUCUUGCAAAGUGGUGUAGUGGCCCACCCGAAAAUUUAAAUGAUUCAAUUAUAGGUCUAUUUUGUGAGAUUUUAUACAAUUUUAUGUCGGUUUUAGGUUUCGGUUGAUCCAAAUUCCCGCAAAUUGGUGUAGUGGCCCACCCGAAAAAUUUAAAUAAUUCAAUUAUGAGUCUAAUUUGCGAGACUUUAAACAAUUUUUCAAUAGUUAAUUUUAGUGGCCCACCCUGACAUUUUUUUCUGGCUGGCUCCGCCACUAGUAACAACUUCGAUAGAUAAUAUAAUUUAGAAAUUCAAAUAAAACAGUUUGAAAAUCCAAUUGUCAUGCAAAUUUACUAUUUAGCAAUGUACUGGUUUAUGUCAAACCACUGUCAAUUGAAUUACUCCAAUUUAGCCAAACUCCAAUAUAUAUUUAGCAAUGUACUGAUUUGUUGUUAAUUAGAAAUUUUUAAUGACUUAAUAGAUUUAAAAUCUUUGUGAGCAACAAAUUACAAGCAUUGUUUUAAAUAUAUAAAUCUUUCAAAUGAUGCAUCUAUGCCACUAUUUCUUUAAAUUAGAGUUUGUACUUUGUACACCUGCUGUUGUUUUGUGAAUUUCUAUUUGUUCUCAUGCCUUCCAUAUUGAAAUGAAGAUAUAGAAGAAAAAAUAUGCUGAAACUAGCUAAUUUUCGCAGACUAAACACUAUUAAAUUAGUCUCCAACUUUUUGUGAUGUUCUCAAAAAGUGCCUUCCAUACUAAUAUGAAGAUAUGGAAAGAAUAAUUCAAAAAGAUUAGUCAAUUUCUUUUUGUGUUAACUCUUCGAUUUUUAGGAAAAGAGAUUAUAGUAAUCUCGAGUACAUCUGUAAGGUAAGUAAAAUUUGAGCUAUAAUUGUUUCACUCAUUAAAUAAACUCAUAUGUCAUAAACAAUAUGUUCUUUAAUGAAAUUUAUUAACCACUCAAGUGUGAUUGCUUGUUUAAGAUUAGUCAAUUUACUCUUAUUAGUUCUUCAAAGAGUAUGUUAGGGACUAAUUUGAAUUUUUUUUUUAUCGCAAGGGACUAAUUCGAUUGAAAGUGGAUAAAUUUAGAGAUCAAACUAGUAAAUGAUUAAAUACAAACCCACUUGGGUUGACCUAGUGGUAUUGGUUUGGGACCUUAGAGUGUGCUCCUUCUCAAGGCUCAUGUUCGAUUCUCUUUGGUGCUAAUUUAGGUGGGUUAAUUUAAUUUCUUAAAUAAAAAGUGAUUAAAUACAAAAAGAACUUGAUAGUUUAAUAGAGUUAGAAAUAAUUUUGGUAUACUCAUAAUUUCAUAAACCAAUCCGAGAAUGUAAUACAAAAUCAUAGACUAAUUUUAUGAUACCUCUAUUUCUUUUUGGUAAAUAGAGAUAACUUUCAUUAACCAACGCAAUUAUUAUAAACCAGAUGGAAUUAGGAAACAACUAAACAAAGAAACAAGAGUUAAGCAUCCAUUAAUGAGUUUGCACCCGAAUCAUCAGAGUUUGCACCUUCUUGAAUUGCAAUCCUAUAAUGUAAGCAUCCAUUUUGAUUUGGUUAAGGAGUUGUUGAACAGAUCGGUAACAAUUCUGAAAUCUUCUAUCAUUCCUCUCCUUCCAGAUCAUAUAGAGGGUCACACUCAACACCAUUCUAUGAGUUUGAUGCAUGCCAUUGUUACUGUUACAAUGAGACUGGACAUAUUGCAAAAUAGAUUGCCAAUUGCUAGUAUUGACACUCAUAUUCAUCCAUCUCAUAGCACCUUUCUAAACAACAACAUCAUAUUCACAAGAAGAAAAAAAAAAGUGAGAUUGAGUUUCAUUCUCCUUUGUACACAAAAUGCAAACCUGGUCACAUUGGAUACCUACUUUAAGCAUCCUCUCACAUCCCAGAAGUUUUUACAAAACAACAUCCUAAUUCCAAACACAUAAAAAAAAAAGGAUUAAUAGAGCUUUACCCCCUUGUAAUAUAUGACACUUUUGGUUUUCCCCCUGUAAUUUUUUUUUUAGAUUCCGUCCUUUUAAAAUAAAGAUUCUUCAAGAUUGCCCCCUGAACCCUGUGACUCAGCAGAAUCUAUGAUGUGACAUUUUUUUUUUCAAUUUUUUUGGAUGCCACGUGUAAAAAAGAUUUUACAUGUCAUUUAUAAUUAAAAAAGUAAAAAAAAUAUAUUUUUUUUAAAAAACGAAAAAAUCUUUUUUUAAAAAGCUAAAAUUAUUUUAAAAAUCAGAAAAAUACUAAUUUUUUUUAAAAAAUUUGAAAAAUCGAAAAAAAAUCAAUUUUUUUUUCCAAAAUUUAAAAAAUUGAAAAUGAAAUUCCAGAUUUUUUUUUUUUUAUUUUAGCUCAAAAAACUGACAUGGAAAAUGUAUUUUACACGUGACAUUAAAAAAAAAUUGAAAAAUAAAAAAAAAUGUCACGUCAGUGACAUAUCAAAGAUUCUGCUGAGUCACAGUGCAUAGUGGGCAAUCUUGAAGAAUCUUUAUUUUAUAAGGACGAAAUCUAAAAAAAAAAAUUUGCAGGGGGAAAACCAAAAGUGCCCUAUAUUACAGGGUGGUAAAGUCCUAUUAACCCUAAAAAAAAUAUUCGGUUUUUUGCGGUUUUCAAUUUUUUUUGAUUAGUUUACAGUUUUUUUAUCGGUUUGAAUUUGAACACCCCUAAAACCAUCUCCAAUGGGAGAUCUUCAACAUUUAAGACCCGAUAUCUAUUAGGUACUCCCAUUUGGGAGAAAAUUUUUCAAGGUCUUAAAAGACCUGGGGGUCUCACUUAAGACCCUCAAUCUUAAGCGGGACCCACUCUCUUUUAAUAUUAAAAAAUUGAAAUAUAAUGAUAUAAAGUUAUUGAUAGUUGCUUAUCGUGGCUCAUUUAAGUAAUUUGUAUGAGAUGCUGGGUUGGAAGGAUUGAGUACUUAUUAGAUACUUCCUCCGUUUCAAAAUACUUGUCCAUUUUGAAGAAAUUACACAUACCAAUGAAUCAAAUAAAUGUUGUCAUUUUUUAUGAAAUUCUUUGUGUCUUUUUCUAUAAUACCCUGCUCAUUUAUUAUUUCAUUCAAUUAUUUCUCUCUCAACAAUAAAUAGGUAAGGGUAAUAUUGAUAAACCAAUAAUUAAUGUUGCAUUGAAACUUCAAAGUGACAAGUAAAAUGAAACAAAAUAAUUCUCCAAAAUGGACAAGUAUUGUGAAAUGGAGGGAGUACUACUCUUAAAUAAUUAUAAAUAAGUGAUGUAUCCGUAAGACUCAUUUAAAUAUUUAAAAAUGAAUAUCUCCAUUAUAGAUGCUGUAAUAAAGAAUAUAACUUUUUAUUAAAAAAUUUUGUAAUUAUUACAUCAACAAAAAUAACAAUUUUUUUUUUGAAGAAACAAAAAUAACAACUUGUUUUAUAAAAAAAGUAAAAACUUAUUUCAAAGACAUACUGUCAUUUAAUACAAUUCUUUUUUCUUUUUUGACCAAACAUUUAAUACAAUUCUUAAAAAACUUGUGAAGCUGGUUUCUUAAGAAACAAAAUGACUAUACGGCCCAUGUUAAAGCAACCUCUCUCGCCAACUUCUUCACAAUCAAACAAGAGAAAUUUGGCAUCUUGAUCUCACCAAUAAUUCUCUCAUCUCUCUUUCACUGAAAAGUCUAACAAGGUUUAUGUGGGUCAAAAUCGUCGACAAGAUAGUUUUUCUUGUUGGGAAGUUAAGUGGAAAUGAAGUAUUUUUUGGAAGAAAAAGACCAAACUUUUCUACGCUCCCUACAUAGUUUUGAGAAAUUGUUAUCAUUACAAAUAACCUAAACUCGUUGCUGAUAUUCACAAAUAAGAAAGCUUGAAAGAUGUCUUACUUAAUAUCCAUGCUAGUUUUGUUGCUAGCAAUUAUCACUCUUACAACCGUAGCAGGAAAUAUUAAUCCCAAAUAUGAGUCUGCACGAUCCAAUGGAUUCAUCAGUUACCAGCCCCCAACAACUGAUACACAAAAACUGGUUGGUCUCGAUUACAGGCGACGUAGACAUGCACCACCGCCGCCACCUCAAUAUCGUCCCAGAAUUAACUACCCAGGAACACCACACCAACAGCCUCAUCGACACCAGUUACGCCCACCUCCUAAAAUGUAAGAAUUAAGAACUCACCAUUUGAGGAGGCUAAGUUGGUCCAAUAAACUACUCUCUCCUGUUAUGUUUAAAAAAAAAAAAAAAAGUUUUUUUUAGAUUCAUUGAAUACUUGAUACAUAUUAUAAACCAAAUAUAUUAAGUAUUCAAUAAAUCUAACAAUCAGUUUUUUUUAGUUUAUAAAUGUAACUGAAGGACAAUUAACAUCAUCGUUGAUAGUAUAUUUUAUGUCUUUCACUAAAAAAAGUAUAUUUUAUGUCUUAGUUGUUAUUUUGAUUUAUAUAUUUUCUGUACUUUUUAGUGUGCUUAAGAUUUUACCAUAUGGAUAAUAAUGAUUUAUCCAGAAUAUUAUAUAAUAAGUGUAUUAAUUGUUCAUUAAGGAAAAGAACAAAAAUAAAUGUGGAA
rnacentral:lncRNA from 1 species